rnacentral:tRNA from 1 species
GCUAGUGUAGCUUAAUGCAAAGCAUAACACUGAAGAUGUUAAAAUGGGCCCUGAAAAGCUCCGCAUGCA